CGAAGGGUGCAAGCGUUACUCGGAAUUACUGGGCGUAAAGCGUGCGUAGGUGGUGAGUUAAGUCUGUCGUGAAGGCCCCGGGCUCAACCUGGGAAUGGCGAUGGAUACUGGCUCGCUAGAGUGCGGUAGAGGAGAGUGGAAUUCCCGGUGUAGCAGUGAAAUGCGUAGAGAUCGGGAGGAACAUCAGUUGCGAAGGCGGCUCUCUGGACCAGCACUGACACUGAGGCACGAAAGCGUGGGGAGCAAACAGGAUUAGAUACCCUGGUAGUCCACGCCCUAAACGAUGCGAACUGGACGUUGGGAGCAAUCAGGCUCUCAGUGUCGAAGCUAACGCGUUAAGUUCGCCGCCUGGGGAGUACGGUCGCAAGACUG
rnacentral:rRNA from 1 species